rfam:Myotis lucifugus cont2.38373, whole genome shotgun sequence.
GCCAGAAUGGCUCAGUGGUUGAGCAUGGACAUAUGAACCAGGAGGUCCAGGUUCAAUUCCUGGUCAGGGCA